GAUGAACGCUGGCGGCGCGCCUAACACAUGCAAGUCGAACGAUUAAAGCACCUUCGGGUGUGUAUAAAGUGGCGAACGGCUGAGUAACACGUGGGCAACCUGCCCCUCUCAUUGGGAUAGCCACGGGAAACCGUGGAUAAUACCGAAUACUUCGGGACUUCCGCAUGGAAGACUCGAGAAAGCUCCGGCGGAGAGGGAUGGGCCCGCGGCCUGUUAGCUUGUUGGUGGGGUAAUGGCCUACCAAGGCAAUGAUGGGUAGCUGGGUUGAGAGACCGACCAGCCAGAUGGGGACUGAGACACGGCCCAGACUCCUACGGGAGGCAGCAGUGGGGAAUCUUGCACAAUGGGCGAAAGCCUGAUGCAGCGACGCCGCGUGCGGGAUGAAGGCCUUCGGGUUGUAAACCGCUUUCAGCAGGGACGAGGCGAAAGUGACGGUACCUGCAGAAGAAGCCCCGGCUAACUACGUG
rnacentral:rRNA from 1 species